CACGUAGUUAGCCGGGGCUUCUUAUUUAGGUACCGUCAUUUUUUCUUCCCUAUUGAUAGAAGUUUACAAUCCGAAAACCGUCUUCCUUCACGCGGCGUUGCUGCAUCAGGCUUUCGCCCAUUGUGCAAUAUUCCCCACUGCUGCCUCCCGUAGGAGUUUGGGCCGUGUCUCAGUCCCAAUGUGGCCGGUCACCCUCUCAGGUCGGCUACUGAUCGUCGCCUUGGUGGGCUGUUAUCUCACCAACUAGCUAAUCAGAUGCGGGCCCAUCUUUUACCGAAUAAAUCCUUUCUUUCCUAGAAGAUGCCUUCCAAGAACCGUAUGCGGUAUUAGUCACCGUUUCCAGUGAUUAUUCCCCAGUAAAAGGCAGGUUACCCACACGUUACUCACCCGUCCGCCGCUAAAUAAUCAAAAGCAAGCUCCCAAUUAUUUCGCUCGACUUGCAUGUGUUAAGCACGCCGCCAGCGUUCAUCCUGAGCCAGGAUCAAACUCU
rnacentral:rRNA from 1 species